GAAAUCAGGGGGACCACCCCCUAAGGCUAAAUACUACUUAGUGACCGAUAGCGCAUAGUACUGUGAAGGAAAGGUGAAAAGGACCCCGGGAGGGGAGUGAAAGAGAACCUGAAACCCUGUGUCUACAAGCUGUGGAAGUGCUUUAUAUGCACGACCGCGUACUUUUUGUAGAACGGUCCGGCGAGUUACGCUUACUGGCAAGGUUAAGCACUUCAGGUGUGGAGCCGUAGGGAAACCAAGUCUUAAGAGGGCCUUAAGUCAGUAGGAGUAGACCCGAAACCGGGUGAUCUAUCCAUGUCCAGGUUGAAGCUGCCGUAAGAGGUAGUGGAGGACCGAACCCACAUCCGUUGAAAAGGGUGGGGAUGAGGUGUGGAUAGGGGAGAAAUUCCAAUCGAACCCGGAGAUAGCUGGUUCUCCUCGAAAUAGCUUUAGGGCUAGCCUCGAUACAGAUUUGCGGAGGUAGAGCACUGAAUUUCCUAGGGGGCGUCAAAGCCUACCGAAGAAUAUCAAACUCCGAAUGCCGCGUAAUCGAUUAUCGGGAGUCAGACUGCACGAGAUAAGUUGGGCGGUCAAAAGGGAAAGAGCCCAGACCUUCAGUUAAGGUCCCCAAGUGCGCGUUAAGUGGAAAAGGAUGUGGGAUUUCGAAGACAACCAGGAUGUUGGCUCAGAAGCAGCCAUCCAUUCAAAGAGUGCGUAAUAGCUCACUGGUCGAGAGGUCCUGCGCCGAAAAUGUCCGGGGCUGAAACGCGCCACCGAAACUAAGGAACCGAAAGGUUGGUAGAGGAGCAUUGCAUGCGGAACGAAGCAGUACCGUAAGGAGCUGUGGACUGCAUGGAAGAGAGAAUGCCGGAAUGAGUAGCGAGAAUAAGGUGAGAAUCCUUAUGGCCGAAUAUCCAAGGUUUCCAGAGUAAAGCUGAUCUGCUCUGGGUAAGUCGGGGCCUAAGGCGAGGACGAGAGUCGUAGCCGAUGGACAACAGGUGGAGAUUCCUGUACUGCGGUAUGACAGAACUGUGGGGACACGUAAGGAAAGCGGAAGCCGGGAAUGGAAAGCCCGGUGCAAGCGGGGUACCAGUCACUUUGGCAAAUCCGGGUGGCAAUGGGAAGCCGUGAUGCGGAGCGAAAUAAAGUAGCGAAGUCCGUGAGCCAUGCGUCAAGAAAAGCCGCUAUCGUUUAUACCGUACCCGUACCGUAAACCGACACAGGUGGAUGAGGAGAGAAUCCUAAGGCCGGCGGAAGAAGCAUUGUCAAGGAACUCGGCAAAAUGGCCCCGUAACUUAGGGAUAAGGGGUGCCUGGGAAACCAGGCCGCAGAGAAUAGGCUCAAGCAACUGUUUAGCAAAAACACAGGUCUAUGCGAAACCGAAAGGUGAGGUAUAUGGGCUGACGCCUGCCCGGUGCUGGAAGGUUAAGAGGAGAGGUUAGCGGUAACGCGAAGCUUUGAAUUUAAGCCCCAGUAAACGGCGGCCGUAACUAUAACGGUCCUAAGGUAGCGAAAUUCCUUGUCGGGUAAGUUCCGACCCGCACGAAAGGCGUAAUGAUUUGAGCGCUGUCUCGACAAUGCAUCCGGUGAAAUUGAAGUACCAGUGAAGAUGCUGGUUACCUGCGCCAGGACGGAAAGACCCCAUGGAGCUUUACUCCAGUCUGGUACUGGGACUCGGUAUUGCAUGUACAGGAUAGGUGGGAGGCUAGGAGAUGGUAACGCCAGUUGCCAUGGAGCCGCUGUUGGGAUACCACCCUUGCAGUAUUGGGUUUCUAACCAGCCGCCGUGACCCGGCGGUGGGACAAUGCCAGACGGGGAGUUUGACUGGGGCGGUCGCCUCCGAAAGGGUAUCGGAGGCGCCCAAAGGUUCCCUCAGAAUGGACGGAAACCAUUCGAAGAGUGCAAAGGCAGAAGGGAGCUUGACUGCGACACCGACGGGUGGAGCAGGUACGAAAGUAGGGCUUAGUGAUCCGGUGGUAUUAAGUGGGAAUGCCAUCGCUCAACGGAUAAAAGCUACCCUGGGGAUAACAGGCUUAUCACUCCCAAGAGUUCACAUCGACGGAGUGGUUUGGCACCUCGAUGUCGGCUCAUCGCAUCCUGGGGCUGUAGUA
rnacentral:rRNA from 1 species